GGCAGAAAUGGCGAUGGAGUUCGCUAUAACCACUGCUCGGCAGUUGGAGCAGUUGAUAACUCCUACCUCGUC
rnacentral:ncRNA from 2 species